rnacentral:tRNA from 1 species
GCCGGUGUAGCUCAGCGGCAGAGCAGCUGAUUCGUAAUCAGCUGGUCGGGGGUUCGAGUCCCCCCACCGGCUCCA